AGCGAACGCUGGCGGCGUGCUUAACACAUGCAAGUCGAGUGCGCGUUUCGUAGCAAUACGGGAUGGCGCACGGCGCACGGGUGAGGAACACGUGGGCGAACAUGCCCUCUGAUGGGGAAUAACCCCGCGAAAGCGGGGCUAAUACCGCAUAAGAUUCCGGGGACCUCGGUCCCUGGACUGAAAGCCCGCAAGGGCGUCGGAGGAGUGGCCCGCGGCCGAUUAGCUUGUUGGCGGGGUAACGGCCNCCAAGGCAAUGAUCGGUAGCCGGUCUGAGAGGAUGAUCGGCCACACUGGAACUGAGACACGGUCCAGACUCCUACGGGAGCGAGCAGUGGGAAUCUUGCGCAAUGGGCGAAAGCCUGACGCAGCGACGCCGCGUGGGGGAUGAAGCCUUUCGGGGACGUAAAACUGCUUUUCUGAGAGAUGAGAAAGGACAG
rnacentral:rRNA from 1 species